rnacentral:SRP_RNA from 1 species
ACACGGACCAGUCUCCUACGGCCAGCUCCCUUUGAAUCCCCCAGGAUGGGAACAUAGCAAGGGUAUUAGGUUGUAGCGGCGCGAUAAGAAUCGCUGACCCACC